GUUGUAUAGUCAAGUAAUUAAGUGCAUGUGGUGGAUGCCUUGGCAGUCAGAGGCGAUGAAAGACGUGAUAGCCUGCGAAAAGCUCCGGGGAGGCGGCAAAUAUCCUUUGAUCCGGAGAUGUCUGAAUGGGGGAACCCACCUACUUUAAGGUAGGUAUUGCAACAUGAAUACAUAGUGUUGCAAGGCGAACGAGGGGAAGUGAAACAUCUCAGUACCCUUAGGAAAAGAAAUCAAUUGAGAUUCCCUCAGUAGCGGCGAGCGAACGGGGAUCAGCCCAUUAAGUUAUGUGUGUUUUAGUGGAACGCUCUGGGAAGUGCGAACGUAGAGGGUGAUAUUCCCGUACACGAAAGGGCACACAUAAUGAUGACGAGUAGGGCGAGGCACGUGAAACCUUGUCUGAAUAUGGGGGGACCAUCCUCCAAGGCUAAAUACUCCUGACUGACCGAUAGUGAACCAGUACCGUGAGGGAAAGGCGAAAAGAACCCCUGUGAGGGGAGUGAAAUAGAUCCUGAAACCGCAUGCAUACAAGCAGUGGGAGCACCUUCGUGGUGUGACUGCGUACCUUUUGUAUAAUGGGUCAGCGACUUAUAUUCAGUAGCAAGGUUAACCGUAUAGGGGAGCCGUAGAGAAAUCGAGUCUUAAUAGGGCGUUUAGUUGCUGGGUAUAGACCCGAAACCAGGCGAUCUAUCCAUGAGCAGGUUGAAGGUUGGGUAACACUAACUGGAGGACCGAACCCACUGUCGUUGAAAAGCCAGGGGAUGACUUGUGGAUAGGGGUGAAAGGCUAAUCAAGCCUGGUGAUAGCUGGUUCUCCCCGAAAGCUAUUUAGGUAGCGCCUCGGACGAAUACCAUAGGGGGUAGAGCACUGUUUCGGCUAGGGGGUCAUCCCGACUUACCAAACCGAUGCAAACUCCGAAUACCUAUGAGUACUAUCCGGGAGACAGACUGCGGGUGCUAACGUCCGUAGUCAAGAGGAAAACAAUCCAGACCGCCAGCUAAGGCCCCAAAAUCAUAGUUAAGUGGGAAACGAUGUGGGAAGGCAUAGACAGCUAGGAGGUUGGCUUANNNNNNNNNNNNNNNNNGAAGCAGCCACCCUUUAAAGAAAGCGUAAUAGCUCACUAGUCGAGUCGGCCUGCGCGGAAGAUGUAACGGGGCUAAAACUAUGUGCCGAAGCUGCGGAUGUAUACUUUGUAUACGUGGUAGGGGAGCGUUCUGUAAGCCGAUGAAGGUGUGUUGAGAAGCNNNNNNNNNNNNNNNNNNNNNNNNNNNNNNNNNNNNNNNNNNNNNNNNNNNNNNNNNNNAUGCUGGAGGUAUCAGAAGUGCGAAUGCUGACGUGAGUAACGACAAAACGGGUGAAAAACCCGUUCGCCGAAAGACCAAGGGUUCCAGUCCAACGUUAAUCGGGGCUGGGUGAGUCGACCCCUAAGGCGAGGCCGAAAGGCGUAGUCGAUGGGAAAAUGGUUAAUAUUCCAUUACUUCUGUGUAAUGCGAUGAGAGGACGGAGAAGGCUAAAUCAGCCUGGCGUUGGUUGUCCAGGUGAAAGGAUGUAGGCAUGUAUCUUAGGCAAAUCCGGGGUACUCUAUGCUGAGAUCUGAUAGCAAGCUGUACUUGUACAGCGAAGUGGUUGAUGCCAUGCUUCCAGGAAAAGUCUCUAAGCUUCAGUUACACAGGAAUCGUACCCGAAACCGACACAGGUGGUCAGGUCGAGUAGACCAAGGCGCUUGAGAGAACUCUGCUGAAGGAACUAGGCAAAAUGGUACCGUAACUUCGGGAGAAGGUACGCUGUUGUUGGUGAUGGAACUCGCUUCCUGAGCUGACGACAGCCGCAGAAACCAGGCCGCUGCAACUGUUUAUUAAAAACAUAGCACUCUGCAAACACGAAAGUGGACGUAUAGGGUGUGAUGCCUGCCCGGUGCUGGAAGGUUAAUUGAUGGGGUUAGCGUAAGCGAAGCUCUUGAUCGAAGCCCCAGUAAACGGCGGCCGUAACUAUAACGGUCCUAAGGUAGCGAAAUUCCUUGUCGGGUAAGUUCCGACCUGCACGAAUGGCAUAAUGAUGGCGGCGCUGUCUCCAGCAGAGGCUCAGUGAAAUCGAAAUCGCUGUGAAGAUGCAGUGUACCCGCGGCUAGACGGAAAGACCCCGUGAACCUUUACUGCAGCUUGACACUGAACUUUGACCUUACUUGUGUAGGAUAGGUGGGAGGCUUUGAAGCUGGAACGCUAGUUCCAGUGGAGCCGUCCUUGAAAUACCACCCUGGUAAUGUUGAGGUUCUAACUCUGUCCCGUGAUCCGGGACGAGGACCGUGUCUGGUGGGUAGUUUGACUGGGGCGGUCUCCUCCUAAAGAGUAACGGAGGAGUACGAAGGUGCGCUCAGCGUGGUCGGAAAUCACGCGUAGAGUAUAAAGGCAAAAGCGCGCUUAACUGCGAGACCCACAAGUCGAGCAGGUACGAAAGUAGGUCUUAGUGAUCCGGUGGUUCUGUAUGGAAGGGCCAUCGCUCAACGGAUAAAAGGUACUCUGGGGAUAACAGGCUGAUACCGCCCAAGAGUUCAUAUCGACGGCGGUGUUUGGCACCUCGAUGUCGGCUCAUCUCAUCCUGGGGCUGAAGCAGGUCCCAAGGGUAUGGCUGUUCGCCAUUUAAAGAGGUACGCGAGCUGGGUUUAGAACGUCGUGAGACAGUUCGGUCCCUAUCUACCGUGGGCGCUGGAAAUUUGAGAGGAUCUGCUCCUAGUACGAGAGGACCAGAGUGGACGAACCUCUGGUGUACCGGUUGUGACGCCAGUCGCAUCGCCGGGUAGCUAUGUUCGGAAGGGAUAACCGCUGAAAGCAUCUAAGCGGGAAGCCUACCUCAAGAUAAGAUUUCCCUAGGACUUUAUGUCCUCUAAAGAGCCGUUCGAGACUAGGACGUUGAUAGGUUGGAUGUGGAAGCAUAGUGAUAUGUGAAGCUGACCAAUACUAAUUGCUCGUGAGGCUUGACUAUACAACACCCAAGCAGUUG
rnacentral:rRNA from 1 species